rnacentral:lncRNA from 1 species
AUUUCAAUGAUUAUUUUUUUUUUAUGUUUAUGUUGAUUUAUAAGGAUUCUGGAACACUAAAAAAUAUAUAUGGACGCAACUGUAGGUAUUUUAUUAUAUUUUGACCCCAUUUCGAGUCUUGUCAAUUUCGGAGGCGCAAACAAACAAUGACAAGGCAGAAUCUAAGAAGAAUUUCAAUUUAAAAAAAGUAUAGAUCAAUAAAUCAUAAACAUGAUAAAUAAUCACAUUAACAUGACUUGUAUCAUUCUACUUUUUCGUUGCAUGCUUGUCUGGUACCUAGUUACUCUAUGUCUAUAAGUAGUACAUGUAUCUCAUCAUGCGCUAGUCCAAAUAAUUAUGACGUCUUGAAAGGCUAUUAUGAGGGUGGUAAAGGGUUAUUUUCGUGCAACGUGAUCGCCGUUUUUUAUUUCACGUUCAACGUGUUUUUACUUUUUUAUUUGACGUUCAGUCGUGCAAGACAGGUGCCUCGUUCAACGUGUUCUGCUUAUUUAAUUUUACGUGUAUCGUGAUUUUCAAAGUCUUAUUUUGCGUGCUCGGUAUUUUUCAAAUAAAAUUCAAACACUUGGCAGGGAUCGUCAAGAAAUACUUUUUUAAAGCCGUAAACCAAUUAAAUCAUAAAUGUGUAUACUAAAUGGGGAAUAUCAAGUAAAACAAAGAGUUAAUAUAUACAAGAAGGUCACUAAAGGUUCAAAUAAAAGUAUUUAUUUUUCGUGCAACGUUCAUUACAGAAAUUAUUUCACGUUCAACGUGAAAUUAUGUCUUAUUUCACGUUUUUUUCGUGCAAGCACCCCCCCUUUACCACCCUCUAUUAUAAUUUUUUUCUUUGACGCCUUUUCAAUACGUCAUAAUUAUUUGGACUAAUCAUGCGCAUGUCUAGUCUAAAUAAUUAUGACGUCUGGCAAGGCUAUUUUAAUUUUUUUCUGGGACGCCUUCCAUAAUUAUUUGGACUAGCGCAUGUCAUGGUACUUUUGUAUACUAUUUUUGCACACAAUAGAAUUUCAGGCUUUCUAGAUCAGAAAACUGCGCUGUGGUCUCUAAAUAUUCGUUUGCAGUAAAUAAGGGUUUCCACUGAUAGUCCUUAUCAAUGUUUGGACAAAAAGAAUAGAAUCAUUAUAAACAAGUCAAAUAUUCAAUUUUGACAGAAAAUCAGUAUUCUAAUACAUGUAAUAUGACAUGCUUCUUUCGCAAAUAUGAAUAAACCUAUGCUCUAAAUCCUAUAAUUUUUUUUUUUUUGCACAUGUGUAUAUUGACUACUGCAGAAUAAUGAAUUUAAACAAAUUGGCAUGCAUUUAAUAUUUUUCAUUAACUUAAAACACUUCCAAACUCUUAAAUGAUGCACACUAAUUCCUUUAUCAUGUUUAUUAUGACUGUAAUGUGUUGCAUUCUGAAAUUGACAUGUUUGACCUACAUGUAGAUCCGACAGCCGUUCAUGCUGGCUGUUCAAAAACUCCUCCCAGUCCCUCCAAAAAAUCACAGUGCCAGCCAUUUGUUUCUUUACAAACAAAAAAAGGGAGGUUCAUGGAAGAGCCUACACAAUCAUGUUACCCUUAUACACAUCGGACAUAGACAUUAUCUUUAUAAUUGUCCUAAUCAGAAUCGAAAUAUUGAUGCAAGCUAUACUUUAUUGUAGUUUUAACAUGGGUAGGCAUUAUAUAGAGUUAUUUUAGCCCUCACUGUCACUGGGGCAAAAAUAAUCACAAAUAUAAUGCCUACCCAUGUUAAAACUACAAUAAAGUAUAGCUUGCAUCAAUUAUUUCUUAAAUCAGUUCGAUUGUUAAAAGGUACAUCCAUUUGAUAGCUAUUCAUAUAAACUAAACAACAAAAGGUCAUGAAAGUACAUUUGUACUUCUGUAAAUUCAGAAAUUAUUGCAAGGUUUUAUUAAAUUAAUGCUAUAAAUGUGACUGAAUGCAUAUGAGCAUUGCAAUAAAUAAGAACUUGCAUUAUUAUAUCUGGUAUAUAUACAUGUAUAUAUAUAAUUCUAUACAGAUAUUUCUGAAAUCAUAAUAAUUAAUCUUUCAUUUUAGUCCAUUCUGCAAAAUAAGCAAUAAUUAAAGCACACAAUGAUUUAUCAGUUUGCAGUGCUUUAACUCUGUAUGCAGUAUAUUAUGAAGUUUCCAUCUUUCAUAUGACCUUGACCUUAUUUUCAUGGUUCAGUGGUUAUUAAAGUUAAGUUUUUGUGUUUUGGUCUAUUAUUUUCUAAUACUACAUUCAAUAUAUUUGUAUGUCAACUAUACUUUUAUGUAUAGGUUCAGUGAUAUUGUUUGCCUUCAAUUAGUGGAGAAUAAAGGUUUUUUCCUAUGGGGAAGAAUCCCAAUUUGAAAAAAAAAUGGCUUUAAAUUAUUUCCAAAAAGACAACUUUUUUCCCAAACAGUGCAGUCUCAGUAGUAAUUGUGCAUGAAUACAAACUGAAAAACACUCAUUUAAACAUUUUUCAUGCUGAAAAUGACUAUUAGUGCAGAUUUGAGGGUCUAUUUAUGUAUCAUCACUGACAAAAUGGGGUCUUAUUUUAAGGCAGAGGUUGACUCUUGAAAAUGGGUCUGUAAAUUGAAGUUUCAGUCAAAUUCUAGUUUAUUUUAAAUUUCUCAAUUUGAAAAUGAUUUGAUGAAAAUAACGCAUAUUUUCCCAAUAAAAAAGGGUAGAGGUAGUGUUGAAAAAAGCCAACAAUUUCACUGAGGUUUUAUUUGACCGUGACCUUAUAUGUAUUUUUAGGAUUCAUUGCUCAAUGUUUUUGUGUUUUGGUAGGUUUUUCUUAAACUAUAAUUAACAUGAUUAAGCAUAAGGCCAACUGAAUUUGGUGUAUGAAUUUUAUGGAAUGUUAGUAUGCAUAGUAAGAUGUACUACAUGUAUAUGUCUGUCUGGCAGACUCAGUUAUCAUCUGACCUUUACCUCACUUUCAUGGUUCAUUGUUCAAUGUUCAGUUUUCCUGGUUAAUAGAUAUAUACAAAACUGUAGGAAGAUGUGGUAUGAGUGCCAAUGAGACAACUCUCCAUCCAAGUACAAUUAUAAAAGUAAACCAUUAUAGGUCUAGGUACAGUCCUCAACAUUGAGCCAAGGCUCACACUGAACAGCAAGCUAUAAAGGGCCCCAACAACUACUAGUGUAAAACCAUUCAAACGGGAAAACCAACGGUCUAAUCUAUAUAACAAACCAGAAACCAGAAAUACUUAGGAACCACAUAAACAUGAUAAACAGACAACAACCAUUGAACAUCAGAAGUUGUUUCUUAGAUACAGUAUCAUACUAAUGUAUAUAUGCAAUAGUUCAUGAUAUGUGUGAAAUAAUUGCUAAAAUGAUAAGUUCAGGUGCAUAAUUGGCUUAUUUGGUUCAAAUAUUUCUUUUGGUUUCUUAGAACUUUUGGAUGUUUCUCUUUACUAGUGGAAGUUAAUAAUGGCUACAUAUUGUACUCAGUUUCACAAAGAAAGCUGUAAUUUACAUUGUUUAUUGUUUAUUCAUUUGUUAGUUAAGUACUAUCACUGAAGAAUGAAGGAAAGGAGGAAGGACAAAGAUAGGAAAUCUGUGGAUUAACUAUUAUAUCUAUGGAACUACUUUUUUUAAACAUUUUAUUGUUUAUUCAUUUGUUAAGUACUAUAACUGAAGAAUGAAGGGAAGGAGGAAGGACAAAGAUAGAAACUGUUAUAGUACAUGUAUACUUAAUCCUUGCUUGGUAAGAAAUCUGUGGAUUAUUAUAUCUUUGUAACUACUUGUUUUAAACAUUACAGAAUACAUGUAAGUUUAAGAAAUGUGUAGUGGUGUGCAUAUUGAGGUUAGUAAUUAAGUUCCUCCCUAUGAUUCAAAAUAUGAGCAAGUUCAAAAAUUAGACUUCAAUCUUAAAUGACUAUGAUUGUCAGUUUUCCUACAGAUGGUCAGUGCUUCUCUAUAGGUACUCUGAUUUCCUCCACCAAUUAAAAAUGGCUGCCAUGCAGUUUGCACCAAAAUCUUUUCCCACUUCUAAUCAAAAGCCGAAUAUUCCUACAUGUAUAUGAUUAUUCCCCCGCCAAAUCCAAGGGGGCACUAAGGUUAACCCCUUGUCUGUUCGUUCCAGGGUUGGUUUCCAUUCUCUACCAAAUUGAAUGAACUUAGUAUACACAAUGCUUAUUAGAAUUUUUGAGGUGUCACCUUAACCUUUCUAGAGUUAUGCCCCCUUUACAAAUUUAGAUAUAAAAGGAAAAAUUUCUGAAUUUAUUGUUUCCAUUCUCUUACUUAAGUUUGCCUCAACCAAAUGUUACGAAACAAUACCAAUUACUACAAAACACAGAUCAGUAACAAAUUUGGGUAUCCUCAAUCUUACCGUUCAUCAGUUACGCUCCUUUAUAACUUUAUAUGAUAUACAAUGUAUAUGUAAGCAGGAGCAUCAUCUGUAUCCCAUGGACAUAUUCCCCAUUUAUUUUAUAUGUACAUAAUUGUAUACAUGUCUAAAACUAGUCAAAAUAUAAAUCUUUUCUAAUCAGGGAUAUAAGACAAUUGGCUUGAGGUACAGCAUGUGCAGACUGAGCCACUAGUGCUGAAAUUGGUGUUAAUCACAAAUCAAUCAAUUAGUCAAUUUUUGAUGAUGCUACAAUAUAUAGUAAUGUUUUCAUUCUACAAUGUAUAUGACAAUAAUUCGUCAACACUGAGAUUGUGAGUUUAAGUUCCACUGGUGUCAUGACAAGAUGAUUUGACUCCGAUUUCAAUUGACUCUGAUUGUCAGUUCUCCUAUUGAAGGUUGGUAAUGCAGUGUUCUCCCCAGGUCUUUUUAGCAUCAUGGUAAUGUGAUGCUAUCUGAAUUGAUUUUCUUGUAGAUUGUGUUAUGGAUGUGAUGCUUUAAUUUUUAGAAAUAAGUAGUAUUUCAAAUUUCCUUAUUUACCAUGUUUACCAAGAUGCUAUUUUAUUUAUCUUGGGAGAACGCUGCGUUUAUAUUAACAUUUUUCAAAAGGAAUAGGGACAUUACUUGUAUCAACCAUGGAUGCCAACUAUACUACAUGUAAGGUACAAGAUAUUGAUGUAUACAAAAAUCUGAAAUGAAAAUUAAUUUCACUUCUGAGGUCUCAUCUACCAUGUCUACCAAGGUCAAAUUUGUAUAUUUGGUAAAAUUUCUUUAAAAAAAAAAAUACUAAUUCAAAUUUAAGUGUGCAUUGUCGUUUGUUUAUGUUGUUGUUUUUUCGUUUGAAUUGUUUUGCAUUAUUUUACAUUAUCAUUUCGGGCCUUUUAUAGCUGACUAUGCGGUGGGGGCUUUGCUCAUUGUUGAAGGCUGUACAGUGACCUAUAGUUGUUAAUUUCUGUGUCAUUUUGGUCUCUUGUGGAGAGUUUUCUCACUGGCAAUCAUACCACAUCUUCUUUUUUAUAUUGGUUGGGAAAGGUGUCCACAAUACAAGGUAACUUGAAAGAUUUUUAUAUCUACCACCGAGAGGACAUGAUUUAAGAAAAUUCAGAUGUACUUUUUUUAUACAUUUGUACAUGCAUAUAUUUGUACUUUUAGAGUCAAGAGGCACACUUAAAGAAAAAACUACAAUGUUUUCUACAAGAGCUGUUGAGGAUGGGUACAGUGAAGGGUUUCAAACACUUAGCCACGUACUUGAGAGGGAAAGAAGAAAUGGUUAUAAGCAUUGUAAAUGAACCUCAG